AACCAGAAGGCGCAAUGAAAGUGAAGGCACGGUCGCCGUGCCGAGGUGAGAGCUGUCGACGGCAGCGCAUCAUCGACCGAUCCCAUCCGCUCCCCCGUGGUGCGGCGGGAUUCGAGUAAGAGUGUACCUGUUGCGACCCGAAAGAUGGUGAACUAUGCCUGAAUAGGGUGAAGCCAGAGGAAACUCUGGUGGAGGCCCGUAGCGAUUCUGACGUGCAAAUCGAUCGUCAAAUUUGGGUAUAGGGGCGAAAGACUAAUCGAACCAUCUAGUAGCUGGUUCCCUCCGAAGUUUCCCUCAGGAUAGCUGUAGCCCGAAGCAGUUUUAUCAGGUAAAGCGAAUGAUUAGAGGUAUCGGGGAAGAAACUUCCUCGACCUAUUCUCAAACUUUAAAUAGGUAAGAAGUCCGACUUGCUCAAUUUGAAGCCGGACACAGAAUGCUGGGUUACUAGUGGGCCAUUUUUGGUAAGCAGAACUGGCGAUGCGGGAUGAACCGAACGCUGAGUUAAGGUGCCAAAGUCGACGCUCAUCAGAUCCCACAAA
rnacentral:rRNA from 1 species